GAUCACUUUUGUCUAGUGGUCAUGUUAAUCGGCUACGAAUCCAUAGGUCGUGGGUUCUAUCCCCCACAAGUAUCG